rnacentral:rRNA from 1 species
UAAUACGGAGGGGGCUAGCGUUGUUCGGAAUUACUGGGCGUAAAGCGCACGCAGGCGGUGUAGUUAGUCAGAGGUGAAAGGCUUGGGCUUAACCCAGGAACUGCCUUUGAUACUGCUAUGCUUGAGUCCGGGAGAGGGUAGUGGAAUUCCCAGUGUAGAGGUGAAAUUCGUAGAUAUUGGGAAGAACACCAGUUGCGAAGGCGGCUACCUGGCCCGGUACUGACGCUGAGGUGCGAAAGCGUGGGGAGCGAACAGGAUUAGAUACCCUGGUAGUCCACGCCGUAAACGAUGAGUGCUAGUUGUUGGGGUUUUUGCUCUCAGUGACGCAGCUAACGCAUUAAGCACUCCGCCUGGGGAGUACGGCCGCAAGGUUA